AGGAUAAGAGCCGCCAAGACUAGCCAAGGAGACUGCCUGUAAGAUCUCCUGCAGAGCAAGGCGACCAAGCAUUAGUGGCUCAGUCAUUAGAGCAGUUUAUGCUAAGCUCUACACCUCUCUCUAAGAGGCCACAGGCAAGUCAUCCUUGGCUAUCUCGACAGACUCUCAUCA
rfam:Oryza brachyantha chromosome 9, whole genome shotgun sequence.